rnacentral:rRNA from 1 species
GCAUUAGCCUUGCCGAAGGAUGAGUCUGCGUCUGAGUUAGCUAGUUGGUGUGGUAAUGGCGCACCAAGGCGACGAUCAGUAGCCGGCCUGAGAGGGUGACCGGCCACAUUGGGACUGAGACACGGCCCAGACUCCUACGGGAGGCAGCAGCUAAGAAUCUUCCGCAAUGGGCGCAAGCCUGACGGAGCGACGCCGCGUGGGUGAAGAAUGCCGAGAGGUUUGAAAACCCUUUUCGUUACAGGAAGAAUAAGUUAAAUCCGGAGGUAAUUGCCGGUUUAGAUGACGUUAUGUAAGGAAUAAGCACCGGCCAAUUACGUG